rnacentral:rRNA from 1 species
UUUAUGGAGAGUUUGAUCCUGGCUCAGGAUGAACGCUGGCGGCGUGCCUAAUACAUGCAAGUCGAGCGAACGGACGAGAAGCUUGCUUCUCUGAUGUUAGCGGCGGACGGGUGAGUAACACGUGGAUAACCUACCUAUAAGACUGGGAUAACUUCGGGAAACCGGAGCUAAUACCGGAUAAUAUUUUGAACCGCAUGGUUCAAAAGUGAAAGACGGUCUUGCUGUCACUUAUAGAUGGAUCCGCGCUGCAUUAGCUAGUUGGUAAGGUAACGGCUUACCAAGGCAACGAUGCAUAGCCGACCUGAGAGGGUGAUCGGCCACACUGGAACUGAGACACGGUCCAGACUCCUACGGGAGGCAGCAGUAGGGAAUCUUCCGCAAUGGGCGAAAGCCUGACGGAGCAACGCCGCGUGAGUGAUGAAGGUCUUCGGAUCGUAAAACUCUGUUAUUAGGGAAGAACAUAUGUGUAAGUAACUGUGCACAUCUUGACGGUACCUAAUCAGAAAGCCACGGCUAACUACGUGCCAGCAGCCGCGGUAAUACGUAGGUGGCAAGCGUUAUCCGGAAUUAUUGGGCGUAAAGCGCGCGUAGGCGGUUUUUUAAGUCUGAUGUGAAAGCCCACGGCUCAACCGUGGAGGGUCAUUGGAAACUGGAAAACUUGAGUGCAGAAGAGGAAAGUGGAAUUCCAUGUGUAGCGGUGAAAUGCGCAGAGAUAUGGAGGAACACCAGUGGCGAAGGCGACUUUCUGGUCUGUAACUGACGCUGAUGUGCGAAAGCGUGGGGAUCAAACAGGAUUAGAUACCCUGGUAGUCCACGCCGUAAACGAUGAGUGCUAAGUGUUAGGGGGUUUCCGCCCCUUAGUGCUGCAGCUAACGCAUUAAGCACUCCGCCUGGGGAGUACGACCGCAAGGUUGAAACUCAAAGGAAUUGACGGGGACCCGCACAAGCGGUGGAGCAUGUGGUUUAAUUCGAAGCAACGCGAAGAACCUUACCAAAUCUUGACAUCCUUUGACAACUCUAGAGAUAGAGCCUUCCCCUUCGGGGGACAAAGUGACAGGUGGUGCAUGGUUGUCGUCAGCUCGUGUCGUGAGAUGUUGGGUUAAGUCCCGCAACGAGCGCAACCCUUAAGCUUAGUUGCCAUCAUUAAGUUGGGCACUCUAAGUUGACUGCCGGUGACAAACCGGAGGAAGGUGGGGAUGACGUCAAAUCAUCAUGCCCCUUAUGAUUUGGGCUACACACGUGCUACAAUGGACAAUACAAAGGGCAGCGAAACCGCGAGGUCAAGCAAAUCCCAUAAAGUUGUUCUCAGUUCGGAUUGUAGUCUGCAACUCGACUACAUGAAGCUGGAAUCGCUAGUAAUCGUAGAUCAGCAUGCUACGGUGAAUACGUUCCCGGGUCUUGUACACACCGCCCGUCACACCACGAGAGUUUGUAACACCGAAGCCGGUGGAGAAACCUUUUUAGGAGCUAGCCGUCGAAGGUGGGACAAAUGAUUGGGGUGAAGUCGUAAACAAGGUAGCCGUAUCGGAAGGUGCGGCUGGAUCACCUCCUUUCU